ensembl:lncRNA
AGGGAGGACUCGAGCCUGAUGAGGACCCAGGGGCCCUGCUCCCCAGCGGCUUUGCCCACUCCCGACAGUGUUGGAGAAAAAAACAACAAAUAAGCAAAAGUGGAGUGCCGGGUUGGAGCUGGAGACAUCAUCAUAACCCUCAUUUAGUUUAAUGAAUACACACAUGGGUAGAGAUGCAUGUAUAUGUAGAUUAGAAUAGAUAGAUACUGCCCACCGAAAGGGCCCAGAAGCAAUGACAUUCCAAGAGCAACAAGCACAACUUAAAUGCCCAGGGCUUGGUUUUUAUAUACCAUUCUCCAAUAAAGGAAAUUGGGAUUCCUUGAAGACAUACACGGUAAGCCUGGAGUAUCAUGCAGUGGCAAAAAAGUGUUCUAAACUACGCCAAAAAUGGAUGGAGAAUGUCAAAAGGGCACAGGAAUCAAACUGAAAAGAACUCUCAGUGCCCAAGGCUAGAAUGAUUUGAGGCACAACAACAACAAAAUAGCAAUUGUGUUGAAUUGCACACAAAAAAUAAACUGUAUUGUAUGGAACACAAUAAAAUAAAUACCCAUGAGUCCAUACUGUGAUAAAUGAUUGACUGAAUAAAU